CCUGCAGGAAAGGACAUCAACCGAGACUCCGCAAGUAGCGGCGAGCGAACGCGGACCAGGCCAGUGGCAAUGAGGAAUAAAGUGGAAAGAUCUGGAAAGGUCUGCCGUAGCGGGUGACAGCCCCGUACACGUAGAACACUCAUUGUCCUUGAGUAGGGCGGGACACGAGAAAUCCUGUCUGAACAUGGGGAGACCACUCUCCAAGCCUAAGUACUCGUGCAUGACCGAUAGCGAACAAGUACCGUGAGGGAAAGGUGAAAAGCACCCCGACAAGGGGAGUGAAAUAGAACCUGAAACCGGAUGCCUACAAACAGUCGGAGCCCGCAAGGGUGACGGCGUACCUUUUGUAUAAUGGGUCAACGACUUAGUGUGGCAUGCAAGCUUAAGCCGGUAGGUGGAGGCGUAGCGAAAGCGAGUCUGAACAGGGCGCUUUAGUAUGUCGCAUUAGACCCGAAACCGAGUGAUCUAGCCAUGAGCAGGUUGAAGGUUGGGUAACACCAACUGGAGGACCGAACCCGCAUCUGUUGCAAUAGAUUGGGAUGACUUGUGGCUAGGGGUGAAAGGCCAAUCAAACUCGGAAAUAGCUGGUUCUCCGCGAAAUCUAUUUAGGUAGAGCGUCGACCGAAUACCCCCGGGGGUAGAGCACUGGAUGGGCUAUGGGGACUCACCGUCUUACUGAUCCUAACCAAACUCCGAAUACCGGGGAGUACUAGUCGGCAGACACACGGCGGGUGCUAACGUCCGUCGUGAAGAGGGCAACAACCCUGACCUCCAGCUAAGGUCCCCAAGUCAUGGCUAAGUGGGAAAGGAUGUGAGGAUCCCAAAACAACCAGGAUGUUGGCUUAGAAGCAGCCAUCAUUUAAAGAAAGCGUAACAGCUCACUGGUCUAAAUAAGGGUCUUUGCGCCGAAAAUGUAACGGGGCUAAAGCCAUGCACCGAAGCUGAGGCUUGUAGCAUUCCUCGGAGUGCUGCAGGGGUAGCGGAGCGUUCCGUAAGCCUGUGAAGGGAUACCCGUGAGGGGUCCUGGAGGUAUCGGAAGUGCGAAUGUUGACAUGAGUAACGAUAAAGAGGGUGAGAGACCCUCUCGCCGAAAGACCAAGGGUUCCUGCUUAAAGUUAAUCUGAGCAGGGUUAGCCGGCCCCUAAGACGAGGCGGACACGCGUAGUCGAUGGGAACCACGUUAAUAUUCGUGGGCCUGGUGGUAGUGACGGAUUGCUUAACUUGUUCGGACUUAAUGGAUUGUCCGGGCGGGGACGCGGUUCCAGGAAAUAGCUCCACCGUAUAGACCGUACCCGAAACCGACACAGGUGGUCAGGUAGAGUAUACCAAGGCGCUUGAGAGAACUAUGCUGAAGGAACUCGGCAAAUUGCACGCGUAACUUCGGAAGAAGCGUGACCCUUUUUGACGCAAGUCAGAUGGGGUGGCACAGACCAGGGGGUAGCGACUGUUUAUCAAAAACACAGGGCUCUGCGAAGUCGCAAGACGACGUAUAGGGUCUGACGCCUGCCCGGUGCUGGAAGGUUAAGAGGAGGGGUGCAAGCUCUGAAUCGAAGCCCCAGUAAACGGCGGCCGUAACUAUAACGGUCCUAAGGUAGCGAAAUUCCUUGUCGGGUAAGUUCCGACCUGCACGAAUGGCGUAACGACUUCCCCGCUGUCUCCAGCAUAGACUCAGUGAAAUUGAAUUCCCCGUGAAGAUGCGGGGUUCCUGCGGUCAGACGGAAAGACCCCGUGCACCUUUACUAUAGCUUUACACUGGCAUUCGUGUCGGCAUGUGUAGGAUAGGUGGUAGGCUUUGAAGCGGGGACGCCAGUUCUCGUGGAGCCAUCCUUGAAAUACCACCCUUAUCGUCAUGGAUGUCUAACCGCGGUCCGUUAUCCGGAUCCGGGACAGUGUAU
rnacentral:rRNA from 1 species